GCGUUGGUGGUGUAAGGCAUAGCAUCGCUCCCCGGAAAGCAGAAGGUGUGGGUUCGAGCCCCGCCUGGCGCA
rnacentral:tRNA from 1 species